CAGGAAUCUCAGAGUAUAUUCGCUGGGUGGUUCUUAGGAUUCCUCAUGAGGUUGCAGUCAUCUGAAUACUUGCUCUGGGAUGUAAGAUCUAAUUCUAUGCUGGCUCCCACAUACAUGCCCGGCAGUUGAUGCCAGCUAUCAAUAAGAAGGCUCACGUUUUUGCCACUCCAGAAGUCUGCUUGAGAGUCUUUACAACAUGCUGGCUUCCCCCAAAGUGAGUGGUCCCAAAGACAGCAAGGUGGAGGCAAGGUUAUCUUGAAAACUUGGCCUCAGAAGUAACAUGGCAUCAUUCCUGCAACAUCUUAUUGGUUAUAUAGGUCCAGCUUCACUGGAGCUGCUCCAGCCUUAUGAGAGCAUUUCGUCACAGCACCUGAAGUUCAACCAUUGUUAAGUGUGGUCCCCACUGAACUAUAAACCAGGCCCAGCAGCCAGAAAACCCAGAUCCCAUUCUGGGAAAAGCUAUAUGUUAGAAAGAAACAUAUGUGAUCUCUUGUUGGGCAAUUCAGUUGCACUUCUUGGCCUAAUUCAUGAAAAAAAAAAAAAAAAAAAACUUGUAAGUAUUAAGCCUUCUUCCCACCCUAGAAUCCUAUGAUUUCAUGCUCUCUUCAGUCUCUCCCAGAAGAAAAUGUCCAGUAUUCAGGAAGCAUAGCUUCCCAGGAAACAGAUAGGGUAGCAGCAGUUUACCCACCCCCUACAUGACAGGAACAAUGAGUCUGCCUCCUAAAGGACGGCAGGGGGCUGGAAGAUUACAGUUCUCUAAAGACAACCUCUGCCAUCCUCCAUAGAGACCAGCACAAAGGCAAUUAAGGAUGAGUAGGAGGCCAGUUUUUAGAGUCCACCAUCAAUAUUUUCUGCAGCCACAGUCCUGAAUCUCACUUCAUCAUCUUUCUGAUGUUGGUAACAAGCGGGCAUUGGGUCUAAGAGAAAAGGAGAAAAAUUAGGGCUCCCAGCUAGACAGGUGAAUCAUGAAACAGCCACUGCCCUGCCGCUUCCCUUCCUGAGCUCGGGAUCACGCGCACCCCAGUGAUGGCAUGGGGGUGACUUUCUGGGCCAGCUGGAGCAAGAUCAAAGGCUGGUAGACAUGUAGGGCCUUGUCUGAAAACUGGCAAGAAAUGUUUUCCUGAUUUAAAGCCAACUGUCUAGAGUGAUGACUGUUAGUUUAGAACAGGAUCCUUGGAUGGAAGUGACAGAGCCAUCCCCCUCCUCAGCAGCAUCCUUAGAAGGGCUCCCUUUCAUCCCCUACAGGAAGUACCAUUCCCAGCAGGCCUUCCAUGCAGGAGCCAUGCUUAAUAUACUGGUUCUUCAGGAACACCCAGAGAAGGAACCUGCCCCCAUCAAAAGCUCAGAGAGUCCUUGUCUAGACACAAUGACAGUAACUUAGCUGAAAUAAGCCACAGAGAGGGAAACAGGACAUAGGAGAAAGGGCACAGAUACUGGAGUCAGACAGUUCUGGAUAUUCAUCCUGGCUCUGCCAUGUACCGGUUACAUGAUUUGUAGUUAGUUAACUCCCCUAUGCCUCAGUUCCUUUGUAUGUACAAUGGGAAUAAUAACAGGACCUAGUCCAUAGAGGUGUUGUUGAGAAACAGACCAUGAGAGAACCAUGUAAAACAUGAGAAAUGAAGUAAAUGAUUCUUUAUUAUUAUACUUUAAGUUAUGGGAUACAUGUGUAGACCAUACAGUUUUGUUAUAUGGGUAUACAUGUGCUAUGGUGGUUUACUGCACCCAUCAACCCAUCAUCUACAUUAGGUAUUUUUCCUAAUGCUAUCCCUCCCCCAGGCCCCCACCCCCUGACAGGCCCCAGUGUGUGAUGUUCCCUUCCCUGUGUCCAUGUGUUCUCAUUGUUCAACUCCCACUUAUGAGUGAGAACAUACAGAGCUUGGUUUUCUGUUCUUGUGUUAGUUUGCUGAGAAUGAUGGUUUCCAGCUUCAUCCAUGUUCCUACAAAGGACAUGAACUUAUCCUUUUUAAAGGCUGCAUAGUAUUCCAUGGUGUCUAUGUGCCACAUUUUCUUGAUCCAGUCUAUCAUUGAUGGGCAUUUGGGUUGGUUCCAAGUCUUUGCUAUUGUGAAUAGAGCCACAAUAAACAUACAUGUGCAUGUGUCUUUAUAGUAGAAUGAUUUAUAAUCCUUUGGGUAUAUACUCAGUAAUGGGAUUGCUGAGUCAAAUGGUAGUUCUGGUUCUAGAUUCUUGAGGAAUUGCCA
rnacentral:lncRNA from 1 species